CGGAGGUCGAAAUCAAUUCUGUUUGUUUCCCGUGAAAGUAGACUCACGCAUCUACGUUUCUACACCUUUCGUUCGUCAAACGACCCGUCGACUGCUCGUGCUUCGGAGUCUACGCAGGGUUAGCUGUUUGCCAAGAUCACGUGGAUAAGCAAGCAGUUUAUGAUUUGAAAGCCGGUCCACUCCGAUUCUUUUGAUUCCUCGGAGGUUUUUAUGUUAUUAAACUAGUUUCUAUUUUCGAACUCUUAGACCGCAGUAGAGCUAGUUUAUAUAUUACAUUUGUUAUUGCAUUGGGAUUAUCGAUU